UCUCCCAGACCCUCCCACCUCCUGGACAGCUCUCUAAGAAUGUAAAAUGGAUGCUGUCCAGGAGGUGAGAGGGUCUGGGAGA